UACGUAGGGGGCGAGCGUUGUCCGGAUUUAUUGGGCGUAAAGCGUCCGCAGGCGGUCUUCUAAGUUUGGGGUGACAGUUCCCGGCUCAACUGGGGAAGUACUUCGAAAACUGGAAGACUUGAGGGCUUGAGAGGAAAGCGGAAUUCCGGGUGGAGUGGUGAAAUGCGUAGAUAUCCGGAGGAACACCAAUGGCGUAGGCAGCUUUCUGGGAAGUACCUGACGCUCAGGGACGAAAGCUAGGGGAGCAAACGGG
rnacentral:rRNA from 1 species